rnacentral:rRNA from 1 species
AUUCCGGUUGAUCCUGCCGGAGGCCAUUGCUAUCGGAGUCCGAUUUAGCCAUGCUAGUCGCACGGGUUCAGACCCGUGGCAGAUAGCUCAGUAACAC